GAAUGCAUAGGAAGGGAUGGAGGUG
rnacentral:piRNA from 1 species